GAUGAACGCUGGCGGCGUGCUUAACACAUGCAAGUCGAACGGUGAAGGCGGAGCUUGCUCUGCUGGAUCAGUGGCGAACGGGUGAGUAACACGUGAGCAAUCUGCCCCUGACUCUGGGAUAAGCGCUGGAAACGGCGUCUAAUACUGGAUACGAGCUGCGAAGGCAUCUUCAGCAGCUGGAAAGAAUUUCGGUCAGGGAUGAGCUCGCGGCCUAUCAGCUUGUUGGUGAGGUAAUGGCUCACCAAGGCGUCGACGGGUAGCCGGCCUGAGAGGGUGACCGGCCACACUGGGACUGAGACACGGCCCAGACUCCUACGGGAGGCAGCAGUGGGGAAUAUUGCACAAUGGGCGAAAGCCUGAUGCAGCAACGCCGCGUGAGGGACGACGGCCUUCGGGUUGUAAACCUCUUUUAGCAGGGAAGAAGCGAAAGUGACGGUACCUGCAGAAAAGCGCCGGCUAACUACGUG
rnacentral:rRNA from 1 species